AUUGAACGCUGGCGGCAGGCCUAACACAUGCAAGUCGAGCGGGGUUUUCGGACCUAGCGGCGGACGGGUGAGUAAUGCGUAGGAAGCUACCCGAUAGAGGGGGAUACCAGUUGGAAACGACUGUUAAUACCGCAUAAUGUCUACGGACCAAAGUGUGGGACCUUCGGGCCACAUGCUAUCGGAUGCGCCUACGUGGGAUUAGCGAGUUGGUGAGGUAAUGGCUCGCCAAGGCGACGAUCCCUAGCUGGUUUGAGAGGAUGAUCAGCCACCCUGGAACGGAGACACAGUCCAGACUCCUACGGGAGGCAGCAGUGGGGAAUAUUGGACCAUGGGCGCAAGCCUGAUCCAGCCAUGCCGCGUGUGUGAAGAAGGCCUUCGGGUUGUAAAGCACUUUCAGUAGGGAGGAAGCGUUGUGUGUUAAUAGUACACAGCGUUGACGUUACCUACAGAAGAAGCACCGGCUAACUCUGUGCCAGCCGCCGCCGUAAUAC
rnacentral:rRNA from 1 species